CCCCUCAAUUCAUUUCUUUUUUGAUCUACCCCUCCAAUCUUUUAAAAUCCCAAAAUACCCUUAUGUGUUAUUUUUUUUAUAUGUUUUUUUCUUUCCUUUCUUCGACUUUUCCCCUCCAUCUCUUUAUCCAUAACCAGACCUUAGGAGCCCUCUGUUUCCUUUCAUGAAUCGGCCGGAUUGUAAGCGUGGAGACUGCGCGUUUUGAAGGAGAUGGUGAAGAGGCGACUCAGAGAGAAAACUGCAGGAUUUUAGAGAGCCCUAGGAGCAGAAGCAGAAGCAACAGGUGGAUAAGCAAAAUGCUCAUUUCUUUGGUGUUACGAUCAACGAGCAACAAGCCGAGUGUGGUAUUGUAGUAAGAGUUACUUCAAAUGCACAAAGCAAAUUUAAGUUACUUUAUUUCGAGCAAGAUGUGAAUGGCGGUUAUGGUUUGGCCCUACAGAUGGAUAAUUGAUCCUCCUCUGGAGGUCAAUGUACCAUCAAAACGCACACCAUGGCCUGAUGCCCCUCCUGAACUCCCUACCAAUGAAAAUGUAGUGUUGGGCAUCCAAGAGCAUGCUGUAAAGCAUCCUACAAAGACCCGCACAUCUAGAUCAAAGAGACGAAGCAAGAGAAAGCAUGACACAAGAACGGUGGACACACAGGUUGCUUCAAAGCAUUCUGAACAAAUUUGAAAAUCUUAGCACGAAGACGGCUAGAGAUGCAUGCUGCUGUGUGAAUUUUAGGCAUCAUUCUUCAGCAUCAUAAAAAAAUUUGAAUUGCAAAGGCUUAUUAGCACAGAGGCAGAUGGCCUAACCUGGUAUAUGUGAAAAGAAUCCUUCACGCUGGGCCAGUUGAUAACAGGCAUUGGAGUUUGAAUUUUCACUUAAUUUUUCACAAAUUUUUUCUUUCUUUUAUAUAUUUUUGUUUGGGAUAUCAGGAUUCUGGUUCAGCAUGCGGUAUGCCAGCAAAGUCUUGCCGUGUCUGCUACCUUGUAGGACUUUGUAUCCAAUAUGUUUUGAAUCUUAUACAUAAUCUUGGAACAUA